rnacentral:lncRNA from 1 species
GCAAAAGGGUUUUGGAGAAAAUAUGGUUUUGACUUGUUAUCUGGGCUUUUCACAAAAUUGCCAAGCAUUCAAGUCUAUCACUUUAACGGUUUCUUCCUCAAGGUGAGAUAAACUAAUCUUUAAUUACUGUUACUAACAACACUUUCAAGAAUUUUACAGAUUUGAUAUUUACACUACAAAAUCAAUACAUCGAAUACCAUUGGACACCAAGGAUGUGAUCGAUUCAGG